rnacentral:rRNA from 1 species
UGUAGCGGUGAAAUGCGUAGAGAUCUGGAGGAAUACCGAUGGCGAAGGCGGCCAUCUGGCCUAACACUGACGCUGAGGUGCGAAAGCAUGGGGAGCAAACAGGAUUAGAUACCCUGGUAGUCCAUGCCGUAAACGAUGUCUACUAGCCGUUGGGGCCUUUGAGGCUUUAGUGGCGCAGCUAACGCGAUAAGUAGACCGCCUGGGGAGUACGGUCGCAAGACUAAAACUCAAAUGAAUUGACGGGGGCCCGCACAAGCGGUGGAGCAUGUGGUUUAAUUCGAUGCAACGCGAAGAACCUACCUGGCCUUGACAUAGUAAGAACUUUCCAGAGAUGGAUUGGUGCCUUCGGGAACUUACAUACAGGUGCUGCAUGGCUGUCGUCAGCUCGUGUCGUGAGAUGUUGGGUUAAGUCCCGCAACGAGCGCAACCCUUUUCCUUAUUUGCCAGCGAGUAAUGUCGGGAACUUUAAGGAUACUGCCAGUGACAAACUGGAGGAAGGCGGGGACGACGUCAAGUCAUCAUGGCCCUUACGGCCAGGGCUACACACGUGCUACAAUGGUCGGUACAAAGGGUUGCUACCUAGCGAUAGGAUGCUAAUCUCAAAAAGCCGAUCGUAGUCCGGAUUGGAGUCUGCAACUCGACUCCAUGAAGUCGGAAUCGCUAGUAGUCGCGGAUCAGAAUGCCG